rnacentral:rRNA from 1 species
UACGUAGGGGUCUAGCGUUGUCCGGAAUCAUUGGGCGUAAAGAGCUCGUAGGCGGUUCGGCAAGUCGGAUGUGAAAUCUCCACGCUCAACGUGGAGGGGCCAUUCGAAACGGCCGUGACUCGAGUCCGGUAGGGGAGUGCGGAAUUCCCGGUGUAGCGGUGAAAUGCGCAGAUAUCGGGAGGAACACCAGUGGCGAAGGCGGCACUCUGGGCCGGAACUGACGCUGAGGAGCGAAAGCGUGGGGAGCGAACAGG